GACGAACGCUGGCGGCGUGCUUAACACAUGCAAUUCGAACGGAAAGGCCCUGCUUUUGUGGGGUGCUCGAGUGGCGAACGGGUGAGUAACACGUUAGUAACCUGCCCUUUACUUUGGGAUAACUUCAGGAAACUGGGUCUAAUACCUGAUAGGAGCUCCUUCUGCAUGGUGGGGGUUGGAAAGUUUCGGCGGUUGGGGAUGGACUCGCGGCUUAUCAGCUUGUUGGUGGGGUAGUGGCUUACCAAGGCUUUGACGGGUAGCCGGCCUGAGAGGGUGACCGGCCACAUUGGGACUGAGAUACGGCCCAGACUCCUACGGGAGGCAGCAGUGGGGAAUAUUGCACAAUGGGCGGAAGCCUGAUGCAGCAACGCCGCGUGCGGGAUGACGGCCUUCGGGUUGUAAACCGCUUUCGCCUGUGACGAAGCGUGAGUGACGGUAAUGGGUAAAGAAGCACCGGCUAACUACGUG
rnacentral:rRNA from 1 species